rnacentral:lncRNA from 1 species
UGCGCAGUUUCGCAAUAUAAUAAAAAAAAUUAUUAUACAAUUUUAUGGUUUUAUAUAUAUGGAAGCAAGCAAAGCCACAAGAAUCAGAGAAAAAGAUGUGAAAAUUAAAGUAUAUAUACAAUAAUAAUUAAUCUAAAAAACAGUUUGCAAUACCUUCUGUAAAGAAAUAUCCUCACCCACAGCUGAGAACUUCACUUGGCUAUCAAUUACAGAUAUAUAAAGCCUGUUACCUAGAAACAAAAAAUUAGGUCAGCCAGCUGAAACAUAUUUAUAAACCAACAUUGGAGAUAGUACUCCAUUUAUAAAAAAAAUUACAAGACUCAAAACCAAGUCGACUCAGCAAAAUCAUAACCGAUUACAUUCAUCCCACUCAGCUCCUCCAAUAUAUCCAACAUUCCCUUCAUAUUUACAAAAGGUAAGUGGUCCUAUAUAUCCCACUCAAGAAUGCAUAAGUUUCUUCAAUCUUAAGUAUCUAAAGUUUUCCUCUACGUUUAUAGAAACUUCGGAAGCAUCUCCCUAUAGUUCUUCAAGUACACGACAUAGAUAUAUGAGUGUUUAUGUGUUAUGCCAAAACAAUACAUGACACCCAUUUGUCUAGUAUGCACCCAGAGAACAUGAGGAGCAGCUGCUGAAAAACCCAUUUUUACGUGGGAAAAAAAUUUCAGGCACUAGCUACCAUAGAAAUCUAUGCAUUACCAAACUGUCCAAGCCUAGAUAAUUCAAGAAUUAUUAAUAGACAUAAGAUCCUCACUAUCAUCCAAAAGAUGACACUAAUAAAACAUGUGUCUAUUAAUAAUUUCUUAAAGGAGUUUAAGCUUUCAAUGCAUGUAUCAAAAGUUUAAAAUUGAAUCUGAAACUUGAAUAACACAUAAAAAUCAUAAAUCUCUUCAAUUUAUUCCUAAUAAAAUGUAGCAUUUUUUCACAUUUCAUUUCUUAAGCAAAACCAUAAAAAAUUACAAACAACAAAUACAUUUUCUAGCACUGAUGCACAUUAUGUUUACUGAGCAAUAAGUUUUAAGUCAUUCAUAUUAAAAUACUUCUUCCUAUUCUAUCAACAAAUAACUAGUAUGUACACACAAUUAAUAAAUUAAAUGUAACCUGGUUGUGAAUCUUGCAAAGUCUUCCUAUUUGGUUUUUUUUUUUUUGGUGGUGGUUGGGGGGGGGGGGGGUGGUUAUGCUCAUUUGUAUGUUGUUAACAGAAAUUGAUCCAAAGCCUCCGUUUUAAUUAGCUUCAUUAUAGCCAAUGAUUAGGUGUUUAAAAACCAAUGAAUAUUUUUUAUAAGAAAUCAACAAUAUUGUUGAAAGAAAAACCAAAUAAAAAUAAUAAAGCAAUGCAUAGAUUAAGGCUCUUUAUUAUCUAAUAACUAAUCAAACUAAGUUGUGGGUAAAGGCGAAUAUGUUUGUUUGGCCAAUAAUAAACUCAAGGAAUCACCAAUAAUCACCUAGUUACUAUUCCUUAUGCCAUGCAAUGUAAUGGCGUCGGUAAUGGCGACAAGGCAGGCAAUAACUAGCUAGCUAGUUAUGAUAGUUGCUUAACUUAACCUACUGGAAAUCUGAAGACCAAAAUGAAGAAACUUUGUCUAGAACUAGAAUAGGAAAACAUUCAUACCCAAAACCAAUAUACAUGAUUAAGAAACUUGAUUAUAUGUAUAUUUUUGUUUGCCACACCAAAUCCCACUAUUUCCAUACUCAUAAGCACAAAAAACCAUCGCAAAAAUGAAUGACCAUAUAAAAUAAAAUAGGUCGUAGGACAUUGAGUAUAGGACAAUAUGAUUUAUGUACCGUAAAAUAACUAUAUCUGCAGUCAACUAUAUUUCUGUUCGAACUCUAAAGUUUUCCAUUAAAUUUUUUCCCCUGUUAGGUAAACCACUUAACUGAAACACUUAAGCAAGAUUGACAAUCAUAGACAUAAAAGUAUUAGGCUCGUUCAAGUGAAAUGAGCAUUAUUUGACAUAUCCUUUAGGCUUUUAAGUCAUUUAGAAGUCAUUCAUGUUAAACAAUUUCUUCAUAUACUUUCAAUAUAAUUAGUACAUACACAAUUAAUUAAUUAAAUAAAUCUGUUUCAGCUAGCACAGGAACUUAAGCAAUCAGAGCUAUUAGUUAUAGCUAGGACUUGAAUGAGGCACCUUUCAAAGUUCAAGAGGAGCAUCUGAACAGAAUGAAAGCAUUUUGUAGAAAUGGUAGUGAUGCUUUACAUCUACAUGCUCUUACACAAUAUGAACUUUCAUUUAUUCAAGAACAUAACACUAAUCCAAGCUCUUACUCUACAAGUCAAUUCAGUUUGUAGAUGCAAGCCAUUGUAAAAACUUUUGUGUUAUAAUUUCCGUAAAUGGAACAUGACAUUACUAAUAUAGAAUCAGCAAUGUUAUAUAACUUAUCAGACAAUAUAACAAGCACUUGGCGAGCAUAUAAGAUAAACUAAAACAAGUUAAUUAGAAAAUGAAACUAAAACCCAAGCUCCGCUAUUCAUUGUAGAAGCUUUAAACAUAAAAUAAAAGUAAAUCUAAAUACAUGAUUGUAAAACAUUAGAAUGAAUGUUGAAAUGAAAGCUAAAUUCAAUAGUAAUCCAAAUGAAUCCAUUUGAACUUUGUAAAUUCCGCAGAACAAAAUUAAUUUGAGUGAGCAAAGUCACCAAUGGAACAAGAACAGAAGGGCUUCAACUUCUAGGAACAAGAAAUAUUGCCGGCGGGACAAAAAUUGACAUUAAUGGUUACAAUACGAAUUAAAGAAAUCAAAACCUAUAAUUACAAGCUAAGAAAGAGAAGAAACUCAUAAUCACAAGCUUACCUGAAACGAUGAGAGAGAUAAUAAGAUGAAGAAGAAGAUCGCCGCCGUUUUACGCCAUUCUCCGGCUACCAGUAAGGUUUAGGAUGGCCAGGCACGCACGAGAGAGAAUUUGGGACUUUGGUUUUGAAAAUAUUGACUUCAGCAAAUAGUUUUCUAUUUAGAAACAAAUUUAUAACUCUACCGUCAAAA